UUAUGUUUUUUGUUGGAAUAGUAAACAUAUGUUGAACGAAAAAUGCAGCUUUAUAUUGUCUACACCACCCUUGAUACAGUAGGAAAUCAAACAUCUUAGUGUGUUCUUGUUGUAAGGGUUGCACCCUAGUGCGAUAUCUUAUAUACAAAUUGCUUAUUAAAAAAAAAAAAAAAACAUCUUCCCUGCUCCGUUACAAAGAUUUCGUACAUCAAGCUGCAGACAGAAACUCGGCACCCAAAUCUAUAUCGAGCCACUACUUUUGGAGGAGUUUUUGUGGUUUUGCGGUGCUGCUAACACAAAAGGAAGCCGAUAGAAUGGCCGGUCUUAAAGGGGUUGUCUCUGUUGAUCCAAGUCAAUCUUACCAACUCGAUCCCCCGAAUGGUACCAUUUCACUGGCCUGGAAAGUAAAAAAUUUAAGUUACUUAUUAACUGUAAUUCUAAACAUCCUACUUUAUAUUAUGAUUGAAUAAAUCAUGCAUUUUAGUAA